UGCUUCAGUGCCUUUAGUGGCUAGAGCGUUCGCCUCGGAUGCGGGAGGUCGCGGGUUCGAACCACUGCCUAGUCAU